GAUGAAGAACGCAGCGAAAUGCGAUAAGUAAUGUGAAUUGCAGAAUUCAGUGAAUCAUCGAAUCUUUGAACGCACAUUGCGCCCGCCAGUAUUCUGGCGGGCAUGCCUGUUCGAGCGUCAUUUCAACCAUCAAGCCCCGGCUUGUGUUGGGGACCUGCGGCUGCCGCAGGCCCUGAAAAGCAGUGGCGGGCUCGCUGUCACACCGAGCGUAGUAGCAUACAUCUCGCUCUGGGCGUGCUGCGGGUUCCGGCCGUUAAACCACCUUCAUAACCCAAGGUUGACCUCGGAUCAGGUAGGAAGACCCGCUGAACUUAAGCAUAUCAAUAAGCGGAGGA
rnacentral:misc_RNA from 1 species